rnacentral:rRNA from 1 species
ACCCGCUGAUUUAAGCAUAUCACUAAGCGGAGGAAAAGAAACUAACAAGGAUGGCCUCAGUAAUGGCGAAUGAAGCGGCCAGAGCCCAAAAUGGAAAUCACCGUGCAGAGUACGGCGAAUUGUAAUCUGGAGAGGAGCUGCUCAAACGGCGGAGGCGCAGAACAGUCUGGAAAGGCUGGCCAUAGAGGGUGAUAGCCCCGUACGUGGCGCCCCCGGCGAACGAGCACUUCAUCAAAGAGUCGGGUUGUUUGAUAUUGCAGCCCCAGGCGGGAGAUAAACUUCUUCUAAGGCUAAAUAUAUGUGGGAAACCGAUAGCGAACAAGUACUGUGAAGGAAAGAUGAAAAGCAACUUGGAAAGGAUGUUAAAAGACCUGAAACCGUUGAGAAGGAAGCGGUAGAGAAGAAUAGUACUCGAAGGCACUGAACCGGAGCUUAGGCGAAGGGGUGUGCUCAGAGUGAGGCCGGAUGGAGCGGCAACACCGCAAAGACACGUGAGAAAGUUGCUUCGGUGGAAUCUUGCGAAAGUCGGUGGAGUUGCGGCUCGAGGGGCUAAGUGCGAUCCGGUCAAAAUGGUCUUUACCGACUCGUCUUGAAACACGAACCAAGGAGUCUAACGUAUACGCGAGUGUGAAGGUGGAAAAACCGUCACGCGAAAUGAAAGUGAGUGAUGCCAAAUUAGCAGCAUCGACCGACCGAACUCUCGGGUAAGGUUUGAGUAUGAGCGUGUCCGCUAGGACCCGAAAGAUGGUGAACUAUGCCUGUGUAGGGUGGAGUCAGGGGAAACUCUGAUGGAAGCUCGUAGCGAUACUGACGUGCAAAUCGUUCGUCUAACAUGGGUAUAGGGGCGAAAGACUAAUCGAACCAUCUAGUAGCUGGUUCCCUCCGAAGUUUCCCUCAGGAUAGCUGGGACAAUUGCGCAGUUUUAUUAGGUAAAGCGAAUGAUUAGAGGCCUCGGGGGCUUCUUGCCCUCGACCUAUUCUCAAACUUUAAAUUGGUAAGAACCCAGGCCUGGCUUAGUUGAGGCUCUGGGGCUCAAUGCGUGUCCUUAGUGGGCCAUUUUUGGUAAGCAGAACUGGCGAUGAGGGAUGCUCCUAACGUUGGGUUAAGGCGCCAAACUGCGCGCUCAUCAGAUACUAUAAAGGGUGUUGGUCCAUUAAGACAGCAGGACGGUGGCCAUGGAAGUUGGAAUCCGCUAAGGAGUGUGUAACAACUCACCUGCCGAAUGGACUAGCCCCGAAAAUGGAUGGCGCUUAAGCGCGCGGCCGAUACCCAACCAUCGCUGCGAGAGUGAGGCAGCGAUGAGUAGGAGGGCGUGGGCGUCGUGUCGAAGCCUAUGGCGUGAGCCUGAGUAGAACGGCGUCUAGUGCAGAUCUUGGUGGUAGUAGCAAUUAUUCAAAUGAGAACUUUGAAGGCCGAAGUGGAGAAGGUUUCCGUGAGAACAGCAAUUGGUCACGGGUGACUCGAUCCUAAGACAUGGGGGAAGUCCCUGUUAAAUGCGAGAUAUCGCGAGUCGAAAGGGAAUGAGGUUAAUAUUCCGUUCAAGCUGGAAGUGGGCUGAAUGGCAACAUAAGUGAACCUGGGAACGCCGGCGCGAGCCUCUGGAAGAGUUAUCUUUUCUUUUUAACAGUUCAGCGGCCCUGAAAUGGGAUUAUCCCGAGAUAGGGCGGCAAAACUGGAAGAGCAUCUCGAUUUUGAGAUGUCAGGUGCGCCCGCGACGGUCCAUGAAAACCCAGGUGAGCGCUGCACACCAGGUCGUACCCACAACCGCAUCAGGUCUCCAAGGUU